rnacentral:rRNA from 1 species
AGUUUAAUGUAUAAUUAUAUUAAAUAAUUUCUGCUCAAUGAUAUUUUAAAUAGCCGCGGUACUCUGACUGUGCAAAGGUAGCAUAAUAAAUUGGCUUUUAAUUAAAGUCUAGAAUGAAUGAAUUUUUGGGUGUUAGCUGUUUUAUAAAAUUUUUAUUUAACUUAAUAAGUAGGUGAAAAUUCCUACUAUAAAUGAAAAAGACGAGAAGACCCUUGAAAUUUUAAUUAUAAGUUUAUAAUUAAACUACUAUUUUUGUUGGGGCAACAAAAUUACAUAUAAACUAAUUUUAUGAAUUUAAAUAGGAAAGAUAAUAACAGGUAAAGUUAAAUUACUCUAGGGAUAACAGCAUAAUUUUAAUAAAGAUUGUGACCUCGAUGUUGGACUAGGAUAUUUAUAUUUAGAAGAUUUAAAAGAUAGUUCUGUUCGAACUUGUACUCCUACAUG